CAUUAAAUGACUGAAUAAAGUAUUGAUUUUUUAAAUCAAAAUAUAAUAGAUCCACAUAAAUCUAUUUUUAAUGA
rnacentral:tRNA from 1 species